UAGCACUGGGCCGGCUGCCUGUGGCCGGCCUCUGACAUCACGGCUGCGUCAGCCCAGCCAGCCCCAGCCCCCCACUUCCUCCUCUCCCUGGGCAGCAUCCUCCACCACCUCCCCAGCCUCACUGUCCUGUCCUGAAAAUGAGCAGCGUGCAGCCUUCCCUCCUGGAAGGGGGCAGGGUGUUCAGGGAGAGGGAGAGGACAAACGCCACUUAGUAAACAACAGCCGACAGCCGUGAUGUGUUGGAGCCAAACCAUAAUCCUGGGAGACAGGGCAGAAUAACUUGGUGAGGACCUUCCCUCGGGGAUGCAGUUGGAGAAGUGACCUGCCCAGGGUCACCCAGCUCACAAGUGGCAAGCUCGUCUAGCCCCAAAGUCUGUGAUUUUGGUCUCUAUUCCAGGCUGCCCCUCUGGGGUUCAGGCCCCACAUCAGCCACUGUACCACUGAAUCAGCCCACAAGGCUGCAAGCUGGGGUCUGUCCUUGGUUCCAUCUUAAGCUAGAGGCUCAGAGAGGUAUUUUCUCCCAGGCAUCCAGAAAAGUCACAGCAAUGUUGUGCAAUGAAUGACUGAACACAGUGUCUUCUCCUUUGAGAAACUACCUGGCUCCGUCUCGGCUGCCUUCGCUCCACUGGGCCUGGGUUCCUCUCCAAGAUCAGGGCUCAGAGACCAGCGAUGAAGACCUAGAGGCAUCUGGGCCACACCGAACCUUCAAGGUAGAGGCUGGUAUCUGGACGCCACCUGAGUAAUCCCACUGUGUUCCUGCCCAACCUGAUGGGGCAUGAACUGGAAAUUCCCUAUAAUACUUGCUCAUUAAAUGGUUCCUCCCCUC